rnacentral:rRNA from 1 species
GAUGAACGCUGGCGGCGUGCCUAAUACAUGCAAGUCGAGCGAACGGACGAGAAGCUUGCUUCUCUGAUGUUAGCGGCGGACGGGUGAGUAACACGUGGAUAACCUACCUAUAAGACUGGGAUAACUUCGGGAAACCGGAGCUAAUACCGGAUAAUAUUUUGAACCGCAUGGUUCAAAAGUGAAAGACGGUCUUGCUGUCACUUAUAGAUGGAUCCGCGCUGCAUUAGCUAGUUGGUAAGGUAACGGCUUACCAAGGCAACGAUGCAUAGCCGACCUGAGAGGGUGAUCGGCCACACUGGAACUGAGACACGGUCCAGACUCCUACGGGAGGCAGCAGUAGGGAAUCUUACGCAAAGGGCGAAAGCCUGACGGAGCAACGCCGCGUGAGUGAUGAAGGUCUUCGGAUCGUAAAACUCUGUUAUUAGGGAAGAACAUAUGUGUAAGUAACUGUGCACAUCGUGACGGUACCUAAUCAGAAAGCCACGGCUAACUACGUG